rnacentral:lncRNA from 1 species
CGACUCCACGAACUCGACCUCUCUUAACCUCCUAUGAAUCUCGCGCAAUCCUGCGGGUUGUCCACGCCCUCACGCUCGAAUCCACGAACGCCUCGCUCACGUCCGAAUCCACGAACGCCACUUGAAUCCACGAGCACACGAUCCGAAUCCUCGAACCACCUUCGAUCACGCCGAAUCCACGACGCCGUCCAUGAAGAACAUCAUGAUUAUGGUGAUUCUUCGCUUACAGUGUUGAUGAAAACCAGAGAAGAAUCUCAAAGCGAAGAGUAGAUCAAUUCGACAAAUAGAUAU